UACGUAGGGCGCGAGCGUUGUCCGGAUUUAUUGGGCGUAAAGAGCUCGUAGGCGGUUUGUCGCGUCUGCUGUGAAAACUCGGGGCUUAACUCCGGGCCUGCAGUGGGUACGGGCAGACUAGAGUGCGGUAGGGGAGACUGGAAUUCCUGGUGUAGCGGUGGAAUGCGCAGAUAUCAGGAGGAACACCGAUGGCGAAGGCAGGUCUCUGGGCCACUACUGACGCUGAGAAGCGAAAGCAUGGGGAGCGAACAGG
rnacentral:rRNA from 1 species